rnacentral:rRNA from 1 species
AAAACGCUCGUAGUCGGAGACUUAUUGGGCAUUAAGGCCAGCCAACCGGGGACACUUGAAAAACGCUCGCAUUUUACGGGAGGCUUGCCGAUGUGCUUUAGUGCACGCGGCGGUCUCCGGAUAGUUUACUUUGAAGAAAUUGGUGCGUUACAGGCAGAUGCGUGUCACUGACAUACUAGCAUGGAAUAAGAGCAACGUCCAUGGUGCGGCGUUGUGUGUUAUGUCGUUUUCGGAUGUCUAAUGAGGAUGGUUGAUGACAUUCGUAUUUAGCUAUCAGAGGUGAAAUUCUAGGACUUGUUAAAGGCGGACUACUGCAAAAGCAUUUGUCAAGAAUGUUUUUAUUGAUCAAGAACAAUAGUUAGGGGAUCGAAGAUGAUUAGAUACCGCCGUAGUCCUAACCGUAAACCAUGCCCACUAGAAGCUGGAAGUACCAAACCGUUGGUACCUCCAGAAACUUUACAGAAGUCAAAGUUUUCGGGUUCCGGGGGAAGUAUGGUCGCAAGUCUGAAACUUAAAGGAAUUGACGGAAGGACACCACCAGGAGUGGAGCCUGCGGCUUAAUUUGACUCAACACGGGAAACCUUACCAGGCCUCGACAUUGUGAGGAUUGACAGAUUGGCUGUUUUUUCAUAAUAUUAUGGGUGGUGGUGCA